rnacentral:rRNA from 1 species
CCUACGGGUGGCAGCAGUGGGGAAUAUUGCACAAUGGGCGCAAGCCUGAUGCAGCCAUGCCGCGUGUGUGAAGAAGGCCUUCGGGUUGUAAAGCACUUUCAGCGGGGAGGAAGGCGGUGAGGUUAAUAACCUCAUCGAUUGACGUUACCCGCAGAAGAAGCACCGACUAACUCCGUGCCAGCAGCCGCGGUAAUACGGAGGGUGCAAGCGUUAAUCAGAAUUACUGGGCGUAAAGCGCACGCAGGCGGUCUGUCAAGUCGGAUGUGAAAUCCCCGGGCUCAACCUGGGAGCUGCAUUCGAAACUGGCAGGCUAGAGUCCUGUAGAGGGGGGUAGAAUUCCAGGUGUAGCGGUGAAAUGCGUAGAGAUCUGGAGGAAUACCGGUGGCGAAGGCGGCCCCCUGGACAAAGACUGACGCUCAGGUGCGAAAGCGUGGGGAGCAAACAGGAUUAGAUACCCGAGUAGUC